CCUACGGGAGGCAGCAGUGAGGAAUAUUGGUCAAUGGGCGCGAGCCUGAACCAGCCAAGUAGCGUGAAGGAUGACUGUCCUACGGGUUGUAAACCUCUUUUAUAAAGGAAUAAAGUGAGGCACGAGUGCCUUUUUGUAUGUACUUUAUGAAUAAGGAUCGGCUAACUCCGUGCCAGCAGCCGCGGUAAUACGGAGGAUCCGAGCGUUAUCCGGAUUUAUUGGGUUUAAAGGGAGCGUAGGUGGGUUGUUAAGUCAGUUGUGAAAGUUUGCGGCUCAACCGUAAAAUUGCAGUUGAUACUGGCGGCCUUGAGUUCGGUUGAAGUAGGCGGAAUGCGUGGUGUAGCGGUGAAAUGCUUAGAUAUCGCGCAGAACUCCGAUUGCGAAGGCAGCUUACUGAACUGCCACUGACGUUGAUGCUCGAAAGUGUGGGUAUCGAACAGGAUUAGAUACCCUUGUAGUC
rnacentral:rRNA from 1 species